GCCGACAAACAAAGAAGAAUAGACUACUUUUUCUGCUGUUCUGCCAUUCAGUAAAUUGCUGUAAUAGUCGUCAUUUUUUGGUCAAGGAUGAAGAAUAUUUGCCUACGGACGCACUGUUGGACAAGUGAAAAACAUUGCCAAAAAACGACAGAGGAAGAUUGCCUUCAAGCCCGUAUUCUGUGUUGGCGAAGCGGGAAAAAAGACUUUCCACACAAGCGUUGUAAACCUUGGAAGGCAGCCUAAAGAGCAAGCAUGGCACGUGUGGAGGUCACCAACGAUUGGCCGGAGCCGGCAGGAGGCCCCGCCCCGUUUAUCGCUGACCUCUAUCAGGGUUUUUUAACGGCGCCAUGGCAGGGUCACGGCUGGGUCGCCUCACAGGCCUUAAUGACUUCCUCCCAUCCCAAUAAAGACGAGAUGUGUUGUGAUGUGUCGUGAUGUAUGAGGACGGCGCCAUCCGUGAUGACCAGCAGGUAACCCCGAACACGGGAAACACGAGGACCACGAUCAAGAUGACGGAAGCGCAAGACUCCCAAUUUGAAGCAGGUAUCGCCAAAUUUGUAUGAGAGUGGUGACGUCGGACCUGGAGAAGACCACCAGGUAACCUCGACUACCACCCAUGCCAAAACACCACAUAGACCAGCAAAACUUUACACGUUAACGACAGCGAGCCUCAGGUGAUGACUGCAUGACACGCUUGCGUGAUGUUUGACACAAAGUUCACGAAGAUGCUAAACGUGCACGACGUCAAGAAAAAGGACUGGAGAAAUAAAGAUGAGGGAAAAAAUGAGGAAGAGGAUGAAG